rnacentral:rRNA from 1 species
GACGAACGCUGGCGGCGUGCUUAACACAUGCAAGUCGAACGGAAAGGCCCUGCUUUUGUGGGGUGCUCGAGUGGCGACCGGGUGAGUAACACGUGAGUAACCUGCCCUUGACUUUGGGAUAACUUCAGGAAACUGGGGCUAAUACCGGAUAGGAGCUCCUGCUGCAUGGUGGGGGUUGGAAAGUUUCGGCGGUUGGGGAUGGACUCGCGGCUUAUCAGCUUGUUGGUGGGGUAGUGGCUUACCAAGGCUUUGACGGGUAGCCGGCCUGAGAGGGUGACCGGCCACAUUGGGACUGAGAUACGGCCCAGACUCCUACGGGAGGCAGCAGUGGGGAAUAUUGCACAAUGGGCGGAAGCCUGAUGCAGCAACGCCGCGUGCGGGAUGACGGCCUUCGGGUUGUAAACCGCUUUCGCCUGUGACGAAGCGUGAGUGACGGUAAUGGGUAAAGAAGCACCGGCUAACUACGUG